GUCCCAGUGGCCUAGCGGCUAGCGCUCCCGUUUUCGAAUUAUCUGUCGGGGGUUCGAACCCAUCCGGGGCCU